UGACAGUUGGUUAUUGUUUUUGAUACUAGGAAAUAUAGAGGAAGUUAAUUGAAAGUGUAUUGAUGACAAAUGAUUUAGAUAAUGUAGGGAUAUAUGGUUUAGCGUAUCCUCCACCUAUUUAGGAAGAGCUGCAGUGGCAAGAGGAAUUUGCGUGAAAUUGAAGAAAGGGCUGAAGAAAACAGCUUUGGAUUGCAUCCACUCCAGCCCAGAGGAGAUGAGCCACGGGAGCAGCCGAAGGUCAGCAGGAGGAUGAGCAGAGUCCGGCCAGAGGUGAGGAGGCUGAGCCUCCCCAGAGCUUUGCAGCAGGAGCAGUGACCCUUGCUUUGUUUCUGCAGCAUUGCUUUAGGACAACGAGCUCAGCUGGGACCAAAGGAGGUGACACAGGUUUGCUGUGGCUUUCAGGUAAUGGAUGACCUUUUGCUCAAUUACACCACAAGCUUCACGUGGGCUCUUUCAUCCUCUACUUAUUAUGGACCACAUGAAAAAACUCCUUUAGAUUCAAA
rnacentral:lncRNA from 1 species